AUUUGUUCUUUAAAUGGGGACUUGUAUCAACGGCACCACGAGGGCCAUACUGUCUCCUUUCUCUAGUCAGUGAAACUGAUCUCCCCGUGAAGAAGCGGGGAUUUAACUAUUAGACGAGAAGACCCCAUGGAGCUUAAAACUCACUAUAUAAUUCUGUACCUCAUACCACCUUAAUUCAGAAUCCUAUAUGCUAGUUUUAGGUUGGGGGGACCUCGGAGUAUAAUUUAACCUCCAUAACAAAUGGGCUAAUACCCUUAUCCAAGAUAAACACCUCUAAGAAUUAUUAAAUUAAUGUUUAAUGACCCGAUAUAUUCGAUCAAUGAACCAAGUUACCCUGGGGAUAACAGCGCAAUCUACUUCAAGAGUCCAUAUCGACAAGUAG
rnacentral:rRNA from 1 species